GAGAAGGUCAGCAGGACUGAGGCUGUUUCCGGAACACUGGUGAACAUGGCUGGUAGAUUCACUGAUCCUAGGUCCCUUGGACAGCAUGACCGGGUCUCUGAGCUGGACUGGAGGCUCUUCUAGGCUCUGACAGAACCAUUCCUAGGAUCCUGCCCAAAUCUUGAUGUGCCAAGCUGACGCGGCUCUGCAAGUAUUCCCUGUCCACAUCAGAUUUGGAGAAGUCCUAGUGGCUCAAGAAAUAAAAGAACCCACUUGCAGUGCACCAGACACCAGAGAAGUGG
rnacentral:lncRNA from 1 species